UUCAAUCAGAACCAAAAAGGACUUAAAGGAGCCCUCAGUCUAAUUGGAUUUUAUAUAAAGGAAUUGCUGAAUAACACAAAUAAAUCAUCAUUGAACAUCCAGGCAUUAAAGUGAUGCAGGACCCAAGGACAAAGGGGAAGCAUGUGGAGGCUACAUGGGACCAAUGAUGAUGGAUACCAGGGUAAAUAGACGUUACCAUGAAGGAUGGAUAUGACAUGUAGCAAGAAUAUGAGGAAAACAACUGAAGACAACAAAAAUGCACAGAUUUCCAGUUCCACCGAAGGUGCAACAGGAAGGAAAGAGCACUAGAGGUGGAAUUCCACCCAGUUUAUCCUGCCACCAUCAGCAGAUUCAAUUGCACGUCUAGCCAAAGAUGUUGGUAAUCUCUCACUCAGGAUCUGGCAGUUAUCCGGGACGAUGAAAUGUGUUCUCAGCCCUAGGCAAAGGGGUUCAGUGAGAAGAUUUCAUCUUUGCCCGGAGACAUUCUGCCUGGCUUCUCCUGUUGAAUGUAGUUGCGCACAGCCUCCAACAGACUCCAGAGCUCUCGGUCUCGUCAGAUACAGGACAGCCUUUCUAGUCACAUCACAGUAAUACAGAGUCAAAAUGACGACGAGAUAAAACCCCAAGCUGAUGCCAGGGAAUGAAUUCUACCAAGGAUCACAAAGUAGCACCACUCAGGAGCCCAGAAGAGAGCAGAGCAGUGUGUGAGAGCAAGACAGAGACCUUCCCAGACACCAAGUCGGAGAGAGGGAUAAAGAGACUUGGGGACAGACAGAACGUCAGAGACACACUAUUCAGAGUGGGAGGGCAGAAGUAGACAGGCAACAUCUAGCAAGAAACAAAAAACAACCAAGAGCAGCAUCAAGCAGGGAACAACUUUAGACAUAGCAAGUAAUGGCGCAUCAGAAGAUGCUGAGGACUGAGGCAUUCGGGACAUGACUUGCCCUUCACUGGGUGUCACAUUUCUGCUGGAUUUGUCUCCUCUCUGGUUAUCUCAUUGUCACUACUAGAUGCUGCACCUCUAUACCAGAUUCAGUGUUUUAUCUCAGCAGGUCUACUUGAUGGCUUCUAAUCUCCUGAAGACUAGCAUCUAGUGACUUGAAAGACUUUCCCUAAUGAGACCCAGUGUAUAAUUUUAGCCAUAGUCAGAGGGUAUAAAUGACACUCCUCGGUGUAAGAAAAGCCAGAAAGGGUAAGUUCAAUAUCUUUACUAUUUAGUGUUUUUUUAAUCCAUAUUAUGAACAGAUAAUAUAAAAGGUAAGUUAGAAAGAUAUGACUCCUAAAUGGGUAGUUCUAAGAAAAUAAAGAGAAAGAGAACAAGUUAAGAGCCUAUGUCAAAUGAGGGUCUACCAUUAAAUAUGGUGUUAUAUUUCUGGCAUUGAGUCUAGUCAAGAUAGGCUGGGCUAAGGUCACAGGAAGUAGUAGCUUUUGCAAGGUCUCUCUUAUAGCUGGUUUUUUGAUACUGAAUUAGUUGUCCUUGGGUUUUCUGGAUAAGGGAUCUAAGUUCUCAGAUUUCUGGACAAUAAUUCAAUUUUUGGUUCUAGACUAAGGGGUUCUAUUUGAGGGAGUAAAAAAAUUCCCAGAAUAUAAAAGGAAUUCAUUAUGGAACACCUUUAUUUCUACACACUGAAAAGACAAUACUAAGCAAGAAAGCAUCAUAGAAUGAUUAUAAUUGUUUGAGACACUAAUAGGCAAGCUUCAUGGGACAUGUGCAAUAGGACAUCCUCAGUAGCCGGUUUUCAUUUCACCUCCACUGAGUAGAGCACAAUCAACACCAAUUGGAUUUUUUUAUUUUUUGGUUAUAUUUGUUUUUCUCUCUGUGGAACAUUCUUUCCUUCUUAGCUGGUCUGCCACUGUGACUGUUGCCAUUGCGACUGCUCUGUUAGCAAAUAUAACCCUCCUCAGUUGCCCAGGAAGGGAGGAGGCUACCAGUUGCUUUGGAAGAUUUCACAAGGCUUUGUAUCAAUGGAAGAAGAUGUGAAUAGAUGUUGACUUCAAGUCAGGCAUAAAGUUGCCUAGGAAGCCAUAUACACAAAGAUUACAGCUAGGUAAGGGGAACAGCAUUCUCCUAGUUACUCUCUGGACCUCAGAGGCAUCCUUUCAUUUUAAGGUUAAAUGGGGGAAAAGACCUUGAGAGUAGGGAUUGCCUCUUUAGUUUAUCAAUGGAAUUCCAGCUCCAGCACCAGUAUGUUCUUUAUUCCUGACAGAAGUUGUCAGAGAAUAUCUGUUCCUACUCUGAAGUGUGGGCAGGAGAGGAGGGAAGAGAAAAGGAGGAAGUAACACUCUGUCAUGUAUCCUGGAGGAGGGGGGUUACUUUACUUCAUAAUUAGUUGGAACAAACACAGCUCAGAUAUAUAGAGAACUGAAUCAACUUUUAAGAAUGCAAAGCAUUCAUCAAUUGACAAAUGGUCAAAGGAUAUAAAUGGACAAUUAGAUGGAAUUAAAACCAUCUUUAGUCACAUGAAAAAUGCUCUGGGGGCAGCUAGGUGGCUCAGUUAAUUGAGAGCCAGGCCCAAAGAGAGGAGGUUCUGGGUUCAAAUGUGACCUCAGACACUCCCUAGCUGUGUGAUCCUGGGCAAGUCACUUAACCCCUAUUUCCUUAAAAAAAAAAAAGAAGAGAAGAGAAAAAUGCUCUAAAUCACUAUAUAAGAAGUAAAUGUUAUGGUUGGACUGAAUAUAUAUAUAUAUAUAUAUAUAUAUUCAUAUAUAUAUUUUUUAGUUGGUCACUGGGGAUUUAAAUUCUAAAUCCCAAUGAAAUAGUCAAGUCAGAAUGGAA